rnacentral:rRNA from 1 species
UACGUAGGGGGCAAGCGUUGUCCGGAUUUAUUGGGCGUAAAGAGCGUGUAGGCGGCCAUUCAGGUCAGCUGUGAAAACUCGAGGCUCAACCUCGAGACGUCGGUUGAAACCGUUUGGCUAGAGUCCGGAAGAGGAGAGUGGAAUUCCCGGUGUAGCGGUGAAAUGCGCAGAUAUCGGGAAGAACACCCGUGGCGAAGGCGGCUCUCUGGGACGGUACCGACGCUGAGACGCGAAAGCGUGGGGAGCGAACAGG